AUCCAGUCAGCAUUAAUUUAUAUAGCAAAUAUUUGGAAUGGAAAUGAUGUUUCUAAGUUCAGACUAUUCUUUCAGAAAGAUUAACAGCAAAGUUUGGUACUCAAGGGGAUAAUAAAAACAAGAUAAAAAUUUUGAGGAGGAAAACCUUGGCCUGAGGUUAAAACAAAAGGGAAGAAUUGAUUGGAAAGCAGGGCAUUGACAAUACAUAGAAGAAGAAUGGCACAAUGGAUGAAGUGGAAACCAGAAAAACUAGAAUUGAUCACAAUCCUAGGUGAAGGAAUGAGGGGAGAGGAGGGGAGCGAUUUUGAGUUUUCAAGAACAAAGGAUAUCAGCAAAGAGUCAGAUCUAAAACUGGACAGUAGCUUUUACGUGGAGAGUUUCUUGAAGAUUUCAAGCACAGGAAGAGAGAAGAACAGAGUGCUAUGAUCCAAGAGCUAGACUUAGAAAAUUCCAGAAGAAGAAGAAUUAGAAGAAGUAAUUGGCUUUAUCUCCAAAUAUGCCCAAAGAUGGGACUGAAGACAUUACCUCACCUGCAUAACAGGGAACAAUUUACUGUAAAUCUAAAAAUGACUGGAGCAAAGGUUAAUUCUCUCACCUCUUAUUACUGUUGUCUCUAUUUAUUUUACUAACAUGCAGGGACAGGAAAAAAAAUGCUGAUCCUAGCAAAGAAUUCUGCACAUAUGUGACCAACUGCUCUGUAGAGUGUAUAUUCGACAACCCAGAGUUCUGCUGGUGUGACAUACAACCAUUAAAUUACCUAAAACUUUUCAUCAGCUAGAGACCUUUUUCUACUUAUGUCAUUUGAGAUUUUGCUCUGUUCUUCACCAUGAGAAUUUGAUGAGUCUCCAGAAGUUCACUCACUCUUAAGCUAGUCCACAUGCAGACCAUAGCAGUUCCUCACCAAUUAAGUGUUCCUCCAAUUUAUGGCUCCAAGUGGCUACUGCUUAAGAUGGGGUCUCAGCCUGUUGCCCACGCUGGAGUGCUGUGGCAUGAUGUCAGCUCACUGCAACCUCUGUCUCCUGGGUUCAAUCGAUUCUCCUGCCCUCAGCCUCCUGAGUAGCUGGGAUUACAGGCACAUGCCACCACGCCCAGGGACAUGGAUGAAUCUGGAGAACAUCAUUCUCAGCAAACUGACACAAGAACAGAAAAUGAAACACCGCAUAUUCUCACUCAUAGGUGGGUGAUGAAAAAUGAGAACACAUGGACACAGAGAGGGGAGUACUAAACACUGGGGU